rnacentral:rRNA from 1 species
UACGGAGGGUGCGAGCGUUGUCCGGAAUCAUUGGGCGUAAAGGGCGCGUAGGUGGCCCGGUCAGUUCGUGGUGAAAGCGCGGGGCUCAACCCUGCGUCGGCCAUGAAUACUGCCGCGGCUGGAGCACUGUAGAGGCAGGCGGAAUUCCGGGUGUAGCGGUGGAAUGCGUAGAGAUCCGGAAGAACACCGGUGGCGAAGGCGGCCUGCUGGGCAGUUGCUGGACACUGAGGCGCGACAGCGUGGGGAGCAAACGGG